CUACUUCUUAAUUAUCACAAAGUAGUAAUAUUAAUUUAUUAAUAGAGUAUUACAAUAUUGUAAGAUAAGAUUAUAAAGGUCAAAAACCAAAAAAAAAAGACGCUACUAUGAUAUGAUGAGAUUUCACUCUUUAUUUGCCACCGGCCCACCGCUUACUAGUUGUAGCAUACGGUUUUACCCUCCAUCAUAACCUCCCUAGCUACCAACCCUAACGCUGGUUAUCGCCUCAAUUACCGCGGCCACAAUGGUUAAUUAAUUGCCACCAGGGGGUCCAUAACCACGUGGGGGACCUACUGGAUAUUCCCUAACAUAACCUUCACCUGGAUCAUCAGGAUCAUCGAAUUCAUUCUUGGCUUCACUCAAACCAAUUGUAUUCUUUGUCGCUGGCUCAGCAGCAUCUAUAUAUAUAUAUAUAUAUAUAUAUAUAUAUAUAUAUUAAUUACAAACAUAAUUGUUAGAGUUAAAGAUCUAAUAUUAGAUACAAUAUAAAUUAUAUAAAGAACAUAUAAUAUAUUCAGAUUCAUCAAAUUAUGGAUAUUACAUGUUUAAUAUAUUCAUUAAUACGUUUCGCACACUUUACAAUAAUUCAUACAUCAAACAUCAAUUUAUGUAGCGUAACGACUAUAAUAUAGGUUUAAACAGAUUUCUAACAUAUUACUAGACAAAUUCAAAACCUGGGACUAUUAAUAAAUCACCAAACUCAAAUAUACAUGACACUUUGCUUAAUUCAGAGGCAGUCCGCUCACCCGACUACGUAGCCGGUCAUAGCAACUGUAGUUCAAACCCGUUGAAUUAAGUAUGAGUUCAUCCCAACAAUAUUAUUAAGUAAACAUUUUAUAUAUCCAAUUUUUUUGUGGUUCUUAUUUAUUUUUUCUUCCACAUGAAUUUUGCUAUGCUUCAAUUGCAUAUAUAUAUAUAUAUAUAUAUAUAUAUAUAUAUUAUAAUGAGAUUAAAAAGAAAAGUAGGCAUAUAUAUAAAAUAUUAUGGUUAAAACUUACUGAUUUUGUUUGAAGUGGACGUAGAAGUAGUCUCGGCCAAGUCUCUAGCAGGUGCCCCCUCUGAAGUAUUCACUAGAAUAGCAAAAGCCGCCACUGCAAGAGUGAAAAGAAUAAGCGACUUCUUGGAACCCAUAUUGGUUGUCUUUCACAACAAUAUUAUAUUAUAUUCUCAUAUAUUCUGUAAUGAAAUAUGAGACACAAAGUUUAAUAUUUCGACCUCUAUUUAUAGAGACAUUAGAAUGUAUGGACACCCU
rnacentral:lncRNA from 1 species